rnacentral:rRNA from 1 species
GGGUUGUGAGGUUAAGCGACUAAGCGUACACGGUGGAUGCCCUGGCAGUCAGAGGCGAUGAAGGACGUGCUAAUCUGCGAUAAGCGUCGGUAAGGUGAUAUGAACCGUUAUAACCGGCGAUUUCCGAAUGGGGAAACCCAGUGUGUUUCGACACACUAUCAUUAACUGAAUCCAUAGGUUAAUGAGGCGAACCGGGGGAACUGAAACAUCUAAGUACCCCGAGGAAAAGAAAUCAACCGAGAUUCCCCCAGUAGCGGCGAGCGAACGGGGAGCAGCCCAGAGCCUGAAUCAGUGUGUGUGUUAGUGGAAGCGUCUGGAAAGGCGCGCGAUACAGGGUGACAGCCCCGUACACAAAAAUGCACAUGCUGUGAGCUCGAUGAGUAGGGCGGGACACGUGGUAUCCUGUCUGAAUAUGGGGGGACCAUCCUCCAAGGCUAAAUACUCCUGACUGACCGAUAGUGAACCAGUACCGUGAGGGAAAGGCGAAAAGAACCCCGGCGAGGGGAGUGAAAAAGAACCUGAAACCGUGUACGUACAAGCAGUGGGAGCCUCUUUUAUGGGGUGACUGCGUACCUUUUGUAUAAUGGGUCAGCGACUUAUAUUCUGUAGCAAGGUUAACCGAAUAGGGGAGCCGAAGGGAAACCGAGUCUUAACUGGGCGUUAAGUUGCAGGGUAUAGACCCGAAACCCGGUGAUCUAGCCAUGGGCAGGUUGAAGGUUGGGUAACACUAACUGGAGGACCGAACCGACUAAUGUUGAAAAAUUAGCGGAUGACUUGUGGCUGGGGGUGAAAGGCCAAUCAAACCGGGAGAUAGCUGGUUCUCCCCGAAAGCUAUUUAGGUAGCGCCUCGUGAAUUCAUCUCCGGGGGUAGAGCACUGUUUCGGCAAGGGGGUCAUCCCGACUUACCAACCCGAUGCAAACUGCGAAUACCGGAGAAUGUUAUCACGGGAGACACACGGCGGGUGCUAACGUCCGUCGUGAAGAGGGAAACAACCCAGACCGCCAGCUAAGGUCCCAAAGUCAUGGUUAAGUGGGAAACGAUGUGGGAAGGCCCAGACAGCCAGGAUGUUGGCUUAGAAGCAGCCAUCAUUUAAAGAAAGCGUAAUAGCUCACUGGUCGAGUCGGCCUGCGCGGAAGAUGUAACGGGGCUAAACCAUGCACCGAAGCUGCGGCAGCGACGCUUAUGCGUUGUUGGGUAGGGGAGCGUUCUGUAAGCCUGUGAAGGUGUGCUGUGAGGCAUGCUGGAGGUAUCAGAAGUGCGAAUGCUGACAUAAGUAACGAUAAAGCGGGUGAAAAGCCCGCUCGCCGGAAGACCAAGGGUUCCUGUCCAACGUUAAUCGGGGCAGGGUGAGUCGACCCCUAAGGCGAGGCCGAAAGGCGUAGUCGAUGGGAAACAGGUUAAUAUUCCUGUACUUGGUGUUACUGCGAAGGGGGGACGGAGAAGGCUAUGUUGGCCGGGCGACGGUUGUCCCGGUUUAAGCGUGUAGGCUGGUUUUCCAGGCAAAUCCGGAAAAUCAAGGCUGAGGCGUGAUGACGAGGCACUACGGUGCUGAAGCAACAAAUGCCCUGCUUCCAGGAAAAGCCUCUAAGCAUCAGGUAACAUCAAAUCGUACCCCAAACCGACACAGGUGGUCAGGUAGAGAAUACCAAGGCGCUUGAGAGAACUCGGGUGAAGGAACUAGGCAAAAUGGUGCCGUAACUUCGGGAGAAGGCACGCUGAUAUGUAGGUGAAGCGACUUGCUCGUGGAGCUGAAAUCAGUCGAAGAUACCAGCUGGCUGCAACUGUUUAUUAAAAACACAGCACUGUGCAAACACGAAAGUGGACGUAUACGGUGUGACGCCUGCCCGGUGCCGGAAGGUUAAUUGAUGGGGUCAGCGCAAGCGAAGCUCUUGAUCGAAGCCCCGGUAAACGGCGGCCGUAACUAUAACGGUCCUAAGGUAGCGAAAUUCCUUGUCGGGUAAGUUCCGACCUGCACGAAUGGCGUAAUGAUGGCCAGGCUGUCUCCACCCGAGACUCAGUGAAAUUGAACUCGCUGUGAAGAUGCAGUGUACCCGCGGCAAGACGGAAAGACCCCGUGAACCUUUACUAUAGCUUGACACUGAACAUUGAGCCUUGAUGUGUAGGAUAGGUGGGAGGCUUUGAAGUGUGGACGCCAGUCUGCAUGGAGCCGACCUUGAAAUACCACCCUUUAAUGUUUGAUGUUCUAACGUUGACCCGUAAUCCGGGUUGCGGACAGUGUCUGGUGGGUAGUUUGACUGGGGCGGUCUCCUCCUAAAGAGUAACGGAGGAGCACGAAGGUUGGCUAAUCCUGGUCGGACAUCAGGAGGUUAGUGCAAUGGCAUAAGCCAGCUUGACUGCGAGCGUGACGGCGCGAGCAGGUGCGAAAGCAGGUCAUAGUGAUCCGGUGGUUCUGAAUGGAAGGGCCAUCGCUCAACGGAUAAAAGGUACUCCGGGGAUAACAGGCUGAUACCGCCCAAGAGUUCAUAUCGACGGCGGUGUUUGGCACCUCGAUGUCGGCUCAUCACAUCCUGGGGCUGAAGUAGGUCCCAAGGGUAUGGCUGUUCGCCAUUUAAAGUGGUACGCGAGCUGGGUUUAGAACGUCGUGAGACAGUUCGGUCCCUAUCUGCCGUGGGCGCUGGAGAACUGAGGGGGGCUGCUCCUAGUACGAGAGGACCGGAGUGGACGCAUCACUGGUGUUCGGGUUGUCAUGCCAAUGGCACUGCCCGGUAGCUAAAUGCGGAAGAGAUAAGUGCUGAAAGCAUCUAAGCACGAAACUUGCCCCGAGAUGAGUUCUCCCUGACUCCUUGAGAGUCCUGAAGGAACGUUGAAGACGAC